rnacentral:rRNA from 1 species
CAGUAGCCGCGGUAAUACGUAGGUGGCAAGCGUUGUCCGGAAUUAUUGGGCGUAAAGCGCGCGCAGGUGGUUUAAUAAGUCUGAUGUGAAAGCCCCCGGCUCAACCGGGGAGGGUCAUUGGAAACUGGGAAACUUGAGUGCAGAAGAGGAGAGUGGAAUUCCACGUGUAGCGGUGAAAUGCGUAGAGAUGUGGAGGAACACCAGUGGCGAAGGCGACUCUCUGGUCUGUAACUGACGCUGAGGAGCGAAAGCGUGGGGAGCGAACAGGAUUAGAUACCCGCGUAGUCCCUGUCUCUUAUAC